rnacentral:rRNA from 1 species
GACGAACCGUGCAAACGUUAUUCGGAAUCACUGGGCUUAAAGGGCGCGUAGGCGGGCCGCCAGGUCCGGGGUGAAAGCCUCCAGCUCAACUGGAGAAGUGCCUUGGAUACCGGCGGCCUCGAGGGAGGUAGGGGCGUGCGGAACUUCGGGUGGAGCGGUGAAAUGCGUAGAUAUCGAGAGGAACACCUGGCGGCGAAGGCGGGUUGCUGGGCUGACACUGACGCUGAACUGCGAAAGCUAGGGGAGCGAACGGG